GAACACAGGUGCUGCAUGGCUGUCGUCAGCUCGUGUCGUGAGAUGUUGGGUUAAGUCCCGCAACGAGCGCAACCCUUGUCUUUAGUUACCAUCAUUCAGUUGGGGACUCUAGAGAGACUGCCGGUGAUAAACCGGAGAAGUGGGGGAUGACGUCAAAUCAUCAUGCCCCUUAUGGCCUGGGCUACAAACGUAAUACAAUGGCGUAUACAAAGGGAUGCGAAAGGGCGACCUGGAGCAAAACUCACAAAGUACGUCUCAGUUCAGAUUGGAGUCUGCAACUCGACUCCAUGAAGGCGGAAUCGCUAGUAAUCGCGGAUCAGCAUGCCGCGGUGAAUACGUUCUCGGGGUUU
rnacentral:rRNA from 1 species